GGUAGAGCUGAGAAGGAGGGAGGGGUGGAGGGAAGGUGGUUUCAAGGGGCUUGUUUUACUUCUCCUUAUCCUGCUCUGAUUUUUUUUAUUAGUAAUAAAUUCACUUAAUAUCCCGGAGUUGAUCCUCUUUUGCCAAUGAUUGUAUUUGAUGAGGGGUCUCUCCUGAUUCUUAUCUCUGCCCUGAACUCUUCGUUGUAUUUUCUCUCCUCUGUCCAGCUGCAGAGGGAGGUUAAUGAGCGGCUUUCACUGGUGCCUGGCAUCAUUACACCUCCCAAGAUAAUUGUAUUUGAUAAUUAUAUAGAGUUAUAUAAGCAUAUAACUUGCUUAGUAUGCUUCCAAAUCCUGCAUGUAAGUAAUCUGUGAAGACAUUGAAGAGCACCAGGCCUGGAAUGGAGCCCUGUGGAACCCCACUAAUGACAGAUCACCAGCGUGAUGUCUCCCCAUUCACUGUCACUGAUUGUGCCCAACCCAUUAGCCAGGUGCUGUAUUUGUGAUGAUGUGUUUAUUCAGCUUUGUCCAGGACACCAAGGAAGACAGCAUUGAUGACUACCGAAAUCCAGAAAGAUGAUUACAUCAACUGACUUCUCUUGAUUGGUGAGGUGGAGAAUCUUGUCAUGAAUGGGUGUCAGAAGGACUUUGCCCUCAUGAACUCAUGCUGGCUGUGAAUGAUGACUGUGUUGUCCUUCAGGGCCGAUGUAAUGCCAAAAUGGGCCCCUCCAGCUGUUCUGUGAAGCUGCUGUAAAGGACUUGGUCAAAGCAGGCAAACUCUGUGAAUUGCUCCUGCUAACCUGAGAGGAAUUGCCUUGAUUCCUGCCGGAAGGAGAAAAUGAAUGAACUUUCAUUGCACUGUUUUCCUCACACAUUUGCAUGAUUUAGGUCAUAUUCCAGGAUUCAAAUGUUUUUCUACGUAAAGUGUAACUAGUUUUUUCUGUAGCUUUAUUUCAAGAUACCCACACCAAUUAUGUCUUAGGCCUUUAAAUGAAUAAAACCAAAUCAAUUUUCACAGAAACACCAGAAGUUACUCUCACUCUAUAGCUAAGAUACCAAGACCAUGAGAAAUUAAAUUGUUACUGAUUUUAGUAAGUUUUCAUCAGUUAAAACAGAUAGAGAUAAUUUUCCAGGGUGUUGAAGCAUUUCAUAUGCUCUAUGUAUGUGCUAUAUUUUAAAUAUAAUUUAAAUAUUUUUGUGUUGUAUGAACUUUUAUAGAGCCAGAAUCCUAAUUUGACUGAUCAGCAAAUGAGAACUACAUUGUGAAUGGCAAGCUGGACAAAUUUUGAGUUAAAACAUUUCUUUGACAUCACUUGGAAGCUCAGUGGCAAAGCUUGGAGUGGAAUCAGUUUCUCUAGAGCUUUGGUCAAUUUUGUUUCCUUUUCUUUUUCCUUUUAAGCUUGAAAUAAAGCACAUAGGCCUGUAAUCUUUGUGCAACCCUGGUUCAUUC